UGAUGCUUUUGCCGGGGACAGAACAGGAAUGGAGUCUUAGAAUUUAUGCUUCUCAGGAGGGAGUGACGCCUGGCCCCAAAGGAAGGAGAAGCUGCUAGAUCUCCAGAGGGGACAUGGUGGAGAAGGAGCAGUAAAGACGGUCUCACAGGAAGCUGCUUCAAGACUGUGUCAUGGGCAUGUUUCGAGGAAAGGCGAUUUGGCAGCACCAGAGCUGAAUAAGGGAAGAAGACGCGUAUUUGUCCUGCGCUGAGUGGGAAGGAUGGAGAAACCAAGACAGAAUAAAAACAGGAGGAAAGGAAGGGGAAGCAGGUGCAAGCACGAGCAUUCCAUUGCCUGAAAUCUCUGAGGUGCAGACAGGGUGGAAGCUGCCCAUGGAAGGAACAUACCUACAGGCCAGACAUGCUGGGAGCUGCUUCUGUGCACUCAGGAGGAAGCACAAUCACCGCAAAGUCAUAAGCCAAACUGAAUGGAGAAGUGCAGUUUGAAAACCUGCCCCAUGUUUACGAGGAAACUGCUAUUUGAGU